rnacentral:rRNA from 1 species
CCUACGGGAGGCAGCAGUGGGGAAUAUUGCGCAAUGGGCGAAAGCCUGACGGAGCGACGCCGCGUGAGGAAUGAAGGUCUUCGGAUCGUAAACCUCUGUCAGCAGAGAAGAACGGUCACUGUGCUAAUCAGCAGUGAAUUGACGGUACCUGCAAAGGAAGCACCGGCUAACUCCGUGCAAGCAGCCGCGGUAAUACGGAGGGUGCGAGCGUUAAUCGGAAUUAUUGGGCGUAAAGCGCUCGUAGGCGGUAUGUGAAGUCAAGAGUGAAAUCCCCGCGCUUAACGUGGGAACUGCCUUUGAAACUGGGAAACUGGAGUUUGUUAGAGGAUAGUGGAAUUCCAGGUGU